CUGAGAUUAUAGCCAACACACCCAGCUCUGUCCUCUGAUCUUUUUUCUUUUUUUGUGGGGCCUUAUGAUAACCUGGCAGCUUUUGCUUUUGAAUGUUGGGAGCCCCAAGCUGCCAUGUCUGGCCACACUGCUAGAAAGGUGUCGCGAGGUGGCAAAAUUGUAAUGCAUGCAGUCGAGGGGAGAAAUAAAGAAUAUCCACGCACUUCUGCCCCUUUCAAUGCUUUAUUCACUCAAAUUACUUAGAACAGUUUUACUCUAUAGGUUCUUAAUGCUAGGCACAGCAGUAGACAUAAUCAAUUCACAGCAAACAAUUCUAGAUUAAUUCUAAGCACUGCAAAACACACGUAAUCAUAAUAGGCUAAUGACAGACAUUUCCUCUGCAUGCUAAAUUCAAAUGUCAGAUCAAAAGUCUUAAGCCUUAGGCUUUAAGUCCAGCUGAUGACACUCACUUAGACUGCAGUGACCAGGUCUGGAACCAAGGCAGGCUUUUCCUGGCAUGGAGUGGAAGACCGGUUGAGGAGAGGUUUUAGGGAGAAGUUGUGGCUCUCACCAAGGUCCAGACGAGGCGGUAGAAUUUGAGAGCAGUAAGGAUCAUGCAGAGGAUUAGGAAACGAUGACAAGUGAUGGGAUGUCAGGUCCUCAUCAGGCUCUCCAGUUCGAGUGCAUCCUUAAUUUGGCUGGCUGAAUUCCUGUUCAUUUGCUCUAUUAUUUAUACUAAAUUUGGGGGCUUUUGACCCCCCUUUCAAUCCUUAUCAGCUACCUCUGGAUUUCUCAGUGACAUCAUUUACCCUGGGGUCAGAAACCCUGGACUGGUGGUCUCCACCCUGAUCUUCUUGCCUUUCCCUCUGUUCAGGCGAGGAUAGCCUGCCAGGGGCUUCACUCUGUUUGUCAGAGUGAGAGGAAGUAACUUGUUUGA
rnacentral:lncRNA from 1 species